CGUUCCUUCUGGUUUGGAAGAGAGAAAAAAAAAAUAACACUGAAUUCGUCUUAACGGAGUUUGUCUCACAAUGCAAUACAAUUCCACGAAGGCAGGAGAAGCUAGUGAACCAGAAGAACCAGGAGAAACAAUCCACGAGGCCCAUCAAAGUGCCCCUGCCUCUGAGGGGGGAAGUUCUCAAUCUGAGACUGAGGCGGAGAAUUGCAAAAUUUUGCAGACAUUUAUUUUUUAAACAUGUUGCUAUUUAUGAGGCUAUACUAUAAUACAUUUGAUGUGUCGUCAUAUACACUUGGCUUUGUUUCCAGUAGAUAUCUACUGUCCUGUGUCCAUAAUUAUUUUAAAUAAAAACAACAAUCGUGUUUUGUUUUAUUUUAA